rnacentral:rRNA from 1 species
GUGCCAGCCGCCGCGGUAAUACGUAGGGGGCGAGCGUUGUCCGGAUUUAUUGGGCGUAAAGAGCUCGUAGGCGGCUGUUCGAGUCGGGUGUGAAACCCCAGGGCUUAACUCUGGGCCUGCAUUCGAUACUGGGCGGCUUGAGUCUGGUAGGGGGAUCUGGAAUUCCUGGUGUAGCGGUGGAAUGCGCAGAUAUCAGGAGGAACACCGGUGGCGAAGGCGGGAUCCUGGGCCAGUACUGACGCUGAGGAGCGAAAGCGUGGGGAGCAAACAGGAUUAGAUACCCUGGUAGUCCACGCUGUAAACGAUGGGUGCUAGGUGUGGGGGGUUAUCGACUCCCUCCGUGCCGCAGCUAACGCAUUAAGCACCCCGCCUGGGGAGUACGGCCGCAAGGCUAAA